rnacentral:rRNA from 1 species
UGUUAAGGGCGGCGGCUAACACAUGCAAGUCGAGCGGAUGAAGGGAGCUUGCUCCCUGAUUUAGCGGCGGACGGGUGAGUAAUGCCUAGGAAUCCGCCUGGUAGUGGGGGAUAACGUUCCGAAAGGAACGCUAAUACCGCAUACGUCCUACGGGAGAAAGCAGGGGACCUUCGGGCCUUGCGCUAUCAGAUGAGCCUAGGUCGGAUUAGCUAGUUGGUGAGGUAAUGGCUCACCAAGGCGACGAUCCGUAACUGGUCUGAGAGGAUGAUCAGUCACACUGGAACUGAGACACGGUCCAGACUCCUACGGGAGGCAGCAGUGGGGAAUAUUGGACAAUGGGCGAAAGCCUGAUCCAGCCAUGCCGCGUGUGUGAAGAAGGUCUUCGGAUUGUAAAGCACUUUAAGUUGGGAGGAAGGGCAGUAAGUUAAUACCUUGCUGUUUUGACGUUACCGACAGAAUAAGCACCGGCUAACUUCGUGCCAGCAGCCGCGGUAAUACGAAGGGUGCAAGCGUUAAUCGGAAUUACUGGGCGUAAAGCGCGCGUAGGUGGUUCGUUAAGUUGGAUGUGAAAGCCCCGGGCUCAACCUGGGAACUGCAUCCAAAACUGGCGAGCUAGAGUACGGUAGAGGGUGGUGGAAUUUCCUGUGUAGCUGUGAAAUGCGUAGAUAUAGGAAGGAACACCAGUGGCGAAGGCGACCACCUGGACUGAUACUGACACUGAGGUGCGAAAGCGUGGGGAGCAAACAGGAUUAGAUACCCUGGUAGUCCACGCCGUAAACGAUGUCAACUAGCCGUUGGAAUCCUUGAGAUUUUAGUGGCGCAGCUAACGCAUUAAGUUGACCGCCUGGGGAGUACGGCCGCAAGGUUAAAACUCAAAUGAAUUGACGGGGCCCGCACAAGCGGUGGAGCAUGUGUUUAUUCGAAGCAACGCGAGACCUUACAGGCUUGACAUGCAGAGAACUUUCCAGAGAUGGGUUGGUGCCUUCGGGAA